GAAUAUUCAUGUAAACUCCACCCACGGGAAUAUUACACAACAGGACUGGAAAUUCCAGCAUAUAAAGAAUUACAAUAAUCCAAUCGAGAUAAAACGAUUUGAGUUUAAAUUUAAUGCAGCCUUUGACCUUCCUUAUUUGAAGGAACCUUUUAAAAAUAUGUCAUAUAACUCGCACAUCCUCUAGUCCUGUCCGUGAUAAAAGAGUGCUGUCUUGAGGAACAUUUUCCCGGGAUCUGGCGACCGCUCUCCUCAUGAAUGAAAGUGAAAGUAACGAACAGAGUUGAUGUGGCCAUUUUAAACAGACAGAACCGAUGAUCUACAACACAUUAUAUAUUUAAAUCUUUAAUAGAAUCGCUAAUAAAUGCUAAAGCAGGAGUUUGUGUGGAGUUACCGGAUGGGAAUGUGAAUCGAGUCAGUGGAGGUCAAACUGUUCAGAGAUCAAACUGUUCAGAUCCAUCAUGGAUGAAACACAAACUUCUGGAGAUGAAGAUUUGUUUCCAGCACACAGCUCAGUUCAUCAGAAGAGAUCAGAAGCAGAGUUCAGCUGUGUGUCUGUGAAGAGUGACUGGUCUAUGGAUCCACCAAUGAAGUUUAAGAGUGGAGAUUCACAGCCUGAUCUCAGGUAUAACGUUUGUAUGAAAAUGUGAUUAUAACAUGACUUUUAAUAUUGUCAUAUAUUAUGUUCACAGUUAUGUUCACAGUUUUUGUAUAAAUAGUAUAUGAGUGAGUAUAAAGCGGGGUUUAUGUAAAUUUCGGGAAGUAACUUCUUGUAGUCCCUACCAGCUGUUUUUAUAACAU
rnacentral:lncRNA from 1 species